rnacentral:misc_RNA from 1 species
GAUGAAGAACGUAGCAAAAUGCGAUAAGUAAUGUGAAUUGCAGAAUUCAGUGAAUCAUCGAAUCUUUGAACGCACAUUGCGCCCGCUGGUAUUCCGGCGGGCAUGCAUGUUCGAGCGUCAUUUCAACCCUCAAGCCCCCGGGUUUGGUGUUGGGGAUCGGCUCUGCCCUUCUGGGCGGUGCCGCCCCCGAAAUACAUUGGCGGUCUCGCUGCAGCCUCCAUUGCGUAGUAGCUAACACCUCGCAACUGGAACGCGGCGCGGCCAUGCCGUAAAACCCCAACUUCUGAAUGUUGACCUCGGAUCAGGUAGGAAUACCCGCUGAACUUAAGCAUAUCAAUAAGCGGAGGA